UCAGGCCUAACACAUGCAAGUCGAACGGUAACGCGGGGCAACCUGGCGACGAGUGGCGAACGGGUGAGUAAUAUAUCGGAACGUGCCCAGUUGUGGGGGAUAACUGCUCGAAAGAGCAGCUAAUACCGCAUACGACCUGAGGGUGAAAGCGGGGGAUCGCAAGACCUCGCGCAAUUGGAGCGGCCGAUAUCAGAUUAGGUAGUUGGUGGGGUAAAGGCCUACCAAGCCGACGAUCUGUAGCUGGUCUGAGAGGACGACCAGCCACACUGGGACUGAGACACGGCCCAGACUCCUACGGGAGGCAGCAGUGGGGAAUUUUGGACAAUGGGGGCAACCCUGAUCCAAAAGUGCCGCGUGCGGGAAGAAGGCCUUCGGG
rnacentral:rRNA from 1 species